AGAGUUUGAUCCCGGCUCAGGAUAAACGCUGGCGGCGUGCUUUAUGCAUGCAAGUCGAACGGUCUUCGCAAGAAGAUAGUGGCGAACGGGUGAGUAAUAUGUAAGUAACUUACCUCUAGGUGGGGGACAACCCCUGGAAACGGGGGCUAAUACCGCAUGUAGUAAUGGAAAUAAUAGUCUUUUAUUAAAGCCGUAAGGCGCCUGGAGAGAGGCUUGCAUCUGAUUAGCUAGUUGGUGAGGUAACGGCCCAUCAAGGCGAUGAUCGGUAGCUGGUUUGAGAGGACGACCAGCCACACUGGGACUGAGACACGGCCCAGACUCCUACGGGAGGCAGCAGCAAGGAAUAUUGUACAAUGGGCGAAAGCCUGAUACAGCGACGCCGCGUGAGGGAUGAAGAUUUUCGGAUUGUAAACCUCUUUUCUCAGGGACGAAUGAUGACGGUACCUGAGGAAUAAGUCACGGCUAACUACGUGCCAGCAGCCGCGGUAAUACGUAGGUGGCUAGCGUUAUCCGGAUUUAUUGGGCGUAAAGAGAGCGUAGGUGGUUUGAUAAGUCAGUUGUAAAAUCUCCCGGCUUAACUGGGAGGGAUCAUCUGAUACUAUUAGACUGGAGUGCAGCAGAGGGAGUUGGAAUUCCCGGUGUAGUGGUGAAAUGCGUAGAUAUCGGGAGGAACACCAGUGGCGAAGGCGAGCUCCUGGGCUGCUACUGACACUGAGGCUCGAAAGCGUGGGGAGCGAACAGGAUUAGAUACCCUGGUAGUCCACGCCGUAAACGAUGGAGACUAGGUAUAGGGAGUAUCGACCCUCUCUGUGCCGAAGUAAACGCUUUAAGUCUCCCGCCUGGGGAGUACGGUCGCAAGACUAAAACUCAAAGGAAUUGACGGGGGCCCGCACAAGCAGCGGAGCGUGUGGUUUAAUUCGAUGCAACACGAAGAACCUUACCAAGACUUGACAUGUUGGAUGUAGCGAACCGAAAGGCAAGCGACCUGUUAAAUCAGGAGCCUUCACAGGUGCUGCAUGGCUGUCGUCAGCUCGUGCCAUGAGGUGUUGGGUUAAGUCCCGUAACGAUCGCAACCCUUGUUGCCAGUUAAUUUCUCUGGCGAGACUGCCCUGCAAAACGGGGAGGAAGGUAGGGAUGACGUCAAGUCAGCACGGCCCUUAUGUCUUGGGCUACACACACGCUACAAUGGACGGUACAAUUGGUUGCAAUGGAGCGAUCCGGAGCCAAUCCAUUUAAAACCGUUCUCAGUUCGGAUUGCAGGCUGAAACCCGCCUGCAUGAAGCUGGAGUUGCUAGUAAACGCAAGUCAGCAUUAUUGCGUUGAAUACGUUCUCGGGCCUUGUACACACCGCCCGUCACGUCAUGAAAGUCGGCAACACCUGAAGUCGAUGGGCUAACCCGCAAGGGAAGUAGUCGCCUAGGGUGGGUCCGGUAAUUGGGACGAAGUCGUAACAAGGUA
rnacentral:rRNA from 1 species